rnacentral:rRNA from 1 species
GCAAGGCAUUUACUGCUUUGUAAUUGGAAUGAACAGAAUCCAAACCCCUUUAUGAACCUAUUGGAGGGCAAGUCUGGUGCCAGCAGCCGCGGUAAUUCCAGCUCCAAUGGCGUAUAUUAAAGUUGUUGCAGUUAAAAAGCUCGUAGUUGAAUUUCUGCCCUCGUUGGCCAGUCUCCGCUCUUUGAGUGAGAAUCCGGUUUGAUAGGGGCAUCCUUUUGAAUUACGCGGCUGCACUUUAUUGUGAGGUCGUGGAGUUCAAAACUUUUACUUUGAGAAAAUUAGAGUGUUUCAAGCAGGCUUACCGCCUUGAAUACUACAGCAUGGAAUAAUACUAUAGGACUUUGGUUCUAUUUUAUUGGUUUCUAGGACUAAAGUAAUGAUUAAUAGGGAUAGUUGGGGGCAUUCGUAUUUGUACUGUCAGAGGUGAAA